GGUCCGGUGGUGUAGCGGUUAACAUGUCUUUCUGUCAUAUAGGAGAUCGCGGGUUCGAUUCCCGUUGGGGCUG
rnacentral:tRNA from 1 species